rnacentral:rRNA from 1 species
AGCCCAGACUCCUACGGGAGGCAGCAGUGGGGAAUAUUGCACAAUGGGGGAAACCCUGAUGCAGCGACGCCGCGUGAGUGAAGAAGCGCCUCGGCGCGUAAAGCUCUGUCAGCAGGAACGAUAAUGACGGUACCUGAAGAAGAAGCCCCGGCUAACUACGUGCCAGCAGCCGCGGUAAUACGUAGGUGGCAAGCGUUGUCCGGAUUUACUGGGUGUAAAGGGCGUGUAGCCGGGCUGACAAGUCAGAUGUGAAAUCCGGGGGCUCAACCCCCGAACUGCAUUUGAAACUGUUUCCCUUGAGUGUCGGAGAGGUAAUCGGAAUUCCUUGUGUAGCGGUGAAAUGCGUAGAUAUAAGGAAGAACACCAGUGGCGAAGGCGGAUUACUGGACGAUAACUGACGGUGAGGCGCGAAAGCGUGGGGAGCAAACAGGAUUAGAUACCCCUGUAC